rnacentral:rRNA from 1 species
UACGGAGGGUGCAAGCGUUAAUCGGAAUUAUUGGGCGUAAAGCGCACGCAGGCGGUUUGUUAAGUCAGAUGUGAAAUCCCCGAGCUUAACUUGGGAACUGCAUUUGAAACUGGCAAGCUAGAGUCUUGUAGAGGGGAGUAGAAUUCCAGGUGUAGCGGUGAAAUGCGUAGAGAUCUGGAGGAAUACCGGUGGCGAAGGCGGCCCCCUGGACAAAGACUGACGCUCAGGUGCGAAAGCGUGGGGAGCAAACAGG